AUCAAUCAUCAAGAUGACACUCGAUGAGUCUCACGAUCCUCCAAUGACACCUAACAGUAUGUAGUGGCACUCUAGUAGAAUAAAAUAUUAAAUCUCUAGGUGCAGUUACUGUGUAGUUCGGUUCUUCAGUCAUGAGUUUCGAGAAGACGCAGGUCAAAGAUAACUCGUUAAACCCAUUCAUCUAUCAUAUAUCAGAUUCAAUUGACUUGAGUCCAUAUAAAGCCUUAUAAAAGCUCCUUUCCAUCAUUCACCUACCAUGGCCAU
rnacentral:lncRNA from 1 species